rnacentral:rRNA from 1 species
GCCAGACUCCUACGGGAGGCAGCAGUGGGGAAUAUUGCACAAUGGGGGAAACCCUGAUGCAGCGACGCCGCGUGAGCGAGGAAGUAUUUCGGUAUGUAAAGCUCUGUCAGCAGGGAAGAAGAAUGACGGUACCUGAAGAAGAAGCACCGGCUAAAUACGUGCCAGCAGCCGCGGUAAUACGUAUGGUGCAAGCGUUAUCCGGAUUUACUGGGUGUAGAGGGAGCGCAGGCGGUUCUGCAAGUCUGAUGUGAAAGCCCGGGGCUCAACCGCGGGACUGCAUUGGAAACUGCGGGACUGGAGUGUCGGAGGGGUAAGCGGAAUUCCUGGUGUAGCGGUGAAAUGCGUAGAUAUCAGGAGGAACACCGGUGGCGAAGGCGGCUUACUGGACGAUGACUGACGCUGAGGCUCGAAAGCGUGGGGAGCAAACAGGAUUAGAUACCCCCGUAA